rnacentral:lncRNA from 7 species
AGGCUUAGAGAGGGCCUCGGGCGGCUGUGUGAACCAAGUGUAGGAGUGCCCUAUUGGUAGGAGUGCCUCAGGGCCCUAGGUUUUAGGUCAUUCUCAUGGAUGGAGGUGGCUAGACCAACUCUUACUUUGCCCCCCUCAAGAUCAAACCUCUCAACAUGAUGGCCCCUAUCUUAGCCAGAGCCAAGGUAGGUCCCUAUGGCAUAUGGCCUUAGGAGCAUGGAUCCGGUAGUAGCCAACCCCCAACACUUCCUUCAUUGGGAUCCUUAGUAGGUGUCUUGAUAGCAAUCGAGGGUAUGUCCUUCCUCGUGCAUUGGAGAGGGUCUUAAGUCUAAUGUUGGAUUGAAGCAUCUAGGCAAGCCUAUAUUUCUUGUAUACACGUAAUAAGACACAUUCAUUGUGUGCCUAGCACUUACUACACAUAUCAUCAUCAAGGGGUGCUAGCAGGCGAUGUGGCAACUAGGUUACUGAGGCUAGCAAGCGCACAAGGGGAGGAUGAACUAGGUUAGGAAAAGCAUCCCAUUAGAGACAAUUCAAUACCAUGAUUUAGCAAUUCAUAGGGUUCUGUCUCUGGGCCUUAUCAUUGUGCUUAGUUAGGAUAAAUUGGCGGUUGCCUCCUAUUCGAAAUUCGAAGCACGAGUGGUAGUCACAUUUUGUGUCUACCUCCCCUUCAUAUGAGGUGUUUGGUGCCUUGGGCUUAGAACCCAACAUUUAUCAAUAAAAAUGGUUCAUAACU